rnacentral:tRNA from 1 species
GGAUUGUGGCUCAGUGGUAGAGCUCUCACCUAGCAUGGGUGAGACCCAGGUUCAAUUCUCAGCACCA